rnacentral:rRNA from 1 species
UGGAUAACCUGCCCUCGGCACCGGAAUAGCCCGAGGAACCUCGGAUUAAUGCCGGAUAGCCCCACAUCCUCGCGAGGAACGUGGGAAAAGGUAGCUUCGGCCUCUGGCCGAGGAUGGGUCCGCGGUGGAUUAGCUUGUUGGCGGGGUAAUGGCCCACCAAGGUGACGAUCCAUAGCUGGUCUGAGAGGGUGACCGGCCACACUGGGACUGAGACACGGCCCAGACCUCCGUACGGGAGCAG